GCCAUACGCUGUUACGUGAAGGAUUUGCUGCUGGUAUUUUGCACCACCUGUCGUUGCCAAACAGACUAACAGCCUGUGCUUUAAUCAUUUCUGUUGCCUUCCAGUUGUCAUCCACUUCUGUUAUCCAUUGUAUUCAGAUUCCCAAGGAGAUACAGAUCUUCGGUUAGCUGCUCCACCUGGGUCACAGAGGCCAAAACUGGUUUGAGAUGACGCUAAGUCAGAAGUGGAUGAAAAAUUUCUCAGACUGGCACUGGAAGGAAAGGUCAGUUGUUAAUUGCAUGGAUGAUGCUAACAUCUUGAGCAAGAUUCAAAUCUCAGUCCUUGGUUGAUUUGGUUUACACUACCACAACUGCAGCCUAAUCUGUUGAAGAAAGUGAAAAUUGUUUUUCUAUUCAUAAUGCAAGCUGUUUAGUACAGAGCUUUCUUCAUAUAUUUAUGUACAUCCUCGAUUAUAAUUUCUGGAUUGACAAUUGUUAUGUAAAUAAUAAAUAAUACUGAAAGGAGACAUCACCACAGCUGCUUUAUGUGAGAAGAACUUGGCUCAUGUUGAUUGGAAGUAUAUUUGAUUGUACAAAAUGAAUUAUGAUGAGUGUUUAACAACAAAAAAUCAAAGUUAAUAGCAUACAUAAUACCAGAGGAUAUAAUUUAGGGGAGUUGAUGUGUUUUAGAUGGUCAUUCAGCUGUAUUUUAUUUAUUUAUGCAAAGAUUUCUGCUACUUACAAUGCUAAUUAAUAAUCACUUGAAU